UGUAUAAUUCUAAUUUUUUUUUUUGUCUAUGGAAACCUAAUUAGGUUAUAACUGAAACCUUGCUGUGACAGGUUUCUGAUGUUGACUCUACUCAAUGAUGGAUACUACAGAGGGGAAAGCAUCCUUGGCUUUUAGUAGGGUUCCUGUUGGUGUUGGUCUGAAUUCAUAAACCAUAGAGAUAUUGGUACCUUGUAAUGCAGAUGGACACUGAAGGCUUUUAUAUAGACACCUUAUAAGCAUUGUAGAGAACAAACAUGUUAGUGCUUAGAAUGCUAAAUUUUUUUUCCAGUGAAGCUACUGGAUAUUUCCUGUCAAUUAAAUUUUCAGAGUUUCCUUGGUGUUAUUUUCUUUAGAAAAAGUAUCUGCUGUUGUAUCUUGUUCACAUGAAUAAAUUUUAUUAAAUUUU